UUGGAGACUAGAGUCACAUCCUGACAUGGUCACUUGUCCUGCUGUGCUAGAGUUCUUGAAGAAGAUCUGCUAGUCUUGAUUCACCAGAGAGGGCAGUCAGUGCCACUACUGGUGUCCAGAUCAGAAACGUCC
ensembl:snoRNA